UGGACCAUUUGCAUGGAAACAACCCAUUCAUUCCUGGAGCCGGAGCAUAGCUACGUACUAAAUAGUACCUCCUGCUUCACAAACUCCACAGUCGAGCUGCUUCAUGGUGGAAUUCGUGGAGCAGAGAUGUAAAAACUAGAGUGAAGCAGUCCUAAACACCUGUUAGUAUAGGAGGAAGAAUUUCAGAUUCAUUUCGAACUUCACUAUCAGUUAGCAUGGUUGAAGCUUUAACCCAUACACAAAGUUGGUUGCGCUCUCCUUCAGGCAUUUUGAACAUUAGAAAAGUUGUGGAGGAAAUUCAAUCUUAUGAGUAAACUGAAGGAAAGAAAUUUCGGCAAAGAACUCCAUCUAUGCACUUUUUGUGUGGUCAAUGUUUGAAGCACAAUCCAGCUUUGUGGGAGCAGAGUGAAGCUUUGGUUGUGGGCAGUUAAAAAAUGAGUGCCUGAAUUUUGUAGCUCAGUUAAUAGUAUGAUGCUGCUAUAAAAAAGCUCUAAUUCUACAUUAUAUAUGGGAGCACAGUUGUCUUACUUGUUCUCAGAUUUGUGUUUAAA